GUGGGAAGCGUCCCCUCUCCGUCCCGGUCCGGCGUCGAACCGCCCCUAUUCCCCCCCCCUCCAACCGUCGUCGUCCCAAACGUCUACACCCCGACGUUGAAGACGCUUCACUACAAGACAAGACAAAACCAUACCGUUCCCUCUCUUUUCGCUAGUUUAGGGUUUCAUCCGUACACUUGUUUCCUUCACCGAUGCUCUUCCCCACUCUAUGGUUUGCUUGCACUCCACAAUUUCUCUCUGAUGGCGGCGGAGUAGCUUAGGGAUUUAAGUCAACCGAUUGAUGUUGCUCUGCUUGAUGCCACCGUCGCAUCUAAAGAUGAGGUUCUUGAGGGUGUUAUCAAAUAUAGAUGGAAUGUAUUGCCUGUUGAGCAACGGGACGGAAUGAAAAACUACAUAUCUGAUGUUAUUGUGAAGCUUUCGAGUAAUGAGGUUUCUUUUCGGCAAGAAAGGUUGUAUGUUAACAAACUUAACAUAAUACUAGUUCAGUGACAAGCAAAGGUGAAGGAAUGCGUGGCGGAAGAAAGGGUACGCGUGGCGGGGGAAAAGGUACGUGUGGCCGGAGAAAAGGUUCGGGGGACGGAAGAAAAGGUUCCGGUGGGCAAAGAAAAAAAUGAACUAAAAGAAUGGGACAUAAUGACGACCGAUGUUGAAAGUUAUCCCGAACAAAAACACGUUACUUGAAGCUUCAUUUAUUUAAUUUAGAGGUAUUUACAGAAUGGUCCUUCUAUUUCACCACCAAACAUUUAUGGGUACAAAGUUUUUUUUUAAAUGUUAUGUUUUUUUUUAAGUUUAUGUUUUUUUUAAAGUU